CCUAAUUUUACCUAAGAAAACUGUAAAAACUUAUUGACUCGAGUAUAAACCUAGGGUUGGAAAUGCAGCCGCUACUGUGGCUAUGAGUUCCAGGAUUGUUAUACUUGGAAUUGCCACUGUGGUAAUGUUGCUAUAAGUUCUGGGCUAUUAUACAUAAAAUUGACUUUUAUUUACUUACUGAGUAUGUAUCAGUAAAAUGUAAUAGAGCUGCUAAAGCUGGAGUUUUCCAGCUCUCUCGAGUGGAACCUAGGCAGGAAAACGUCAAUCCCUAGUUCUGUACACUCAGGUCCCUACUCUUGGCCAGUGCACCCAGGGCUCUAAUCCUGUCAGGGCUGGCCUCUGGCGAGAGACCAGCAGGUAGGAGCCUUUGUAUAGAUAACCCCCAGAAAUCCCUUAAAGGGCCAGACAGCCAAGUGAGAUGAAAAUAGGUAGUUUAAUGAAAACAAAAAUAAAAGUAAAGUACAAGCCUGUGGUAAGGUAAGGUACAGAGUCCGGCAAUAGGAAAAUCCGUGAGCAGGCAGAGGUCAGUCCAGGCAGGGUUCAAGCAAAUCCAAUAAUCAGGCAGAGGUCAAAUCGGGGAACCAAACAGAGAUCAGGCAGGGCAUAGGCAGGGAACAGGAAUCAGAAGUGGCAAGACCAAGCUCAGCAGGAAUGAUGAUCGAGCAACUGGGUGUUGCCCAAAGAGGGUUUAUAUAGGCGGGUAAUUAGAAAAGCAGCCAUACAUGUGAUAAACGAUAUAUGUUGCGACAUAAGCAAAACUGGUGGAAAUGCAGAAGGCACAUAAGGGCAACUGAUCCCAUGGAGCUCAUGGAGCCUCCUGUGGCUCACUAAGCAAGUGCACUUGCAGUCCAGCACCAAGUCCAGGGUUCGAUUCCCUGCAGUUCCUGACAAAUCCUUACUAAAUCUCUGUGGUUGAGCUCAGGCUGCUCCCUAGCUACCCUACUCCUAGCUAUCAUUCCUAGAGUGAUCUGUGACAGGGAAUACCUUGCAACUAACUACCUUUGCCUAGGCUCAAUCUUCUUCCCCUGCCUUCCUAGGGGAAAAUUGAGAAAGAUAGACAGAUACACCAAGAUAGACACUGGGGGAUGAUUCAGCUAAAUAGAGAAGACCCUGGCACUUGGUCACUCUAUUUGGUCCUUGUGUCUAUGGGUUGGAAAAUCAGAGCCCAAUGGGAUAGGCCAUUCAGUAAUUUCAGGCAAUCACCAUAUUGUCAUUGCACUGUGUAGGCACCCAUGCUCUCCAUUUCCCUCUUCAUUACUGUGUUGCUGUGUACUGAGGAUGUGACACCUUUCAUUAAUAUCUGUUGUGAUGCCUACAGCCUGUGUUUAGUGACCUAUGUUUCUAUCCUCACCACCGUGCCGUUAGGAGCCUAUACAGAGCUGCUUGCCGUGAUGAGUGCAGUUGGCGCUGCACACCCCCCCCAAAAAAAA